rnacentral:lncRNA from 10 species
CUCAGCAACCCUAUCAUUAGGUACUGUGUAUCUUACUUUUAAUUGUGGGGAAACUGAGGCUAGGAGAGGUUCAAUAAUGUGUUUAUAGUCAUAUAGCUGGGCAGCUGGAGCCAGGGGUUGAGCCCGGGGUCAGAUUCCAGAGCCUGGUGCUGAGCCUUAUCAUGGUACUGCCCUCUGCUGGACAGGCUGUAGACCUGGGGGAGAUAGGGGAAUGGAGGGGUGAAAUGAGGGAGUAUGGGCUUGAAGCCCUGCUUAGGGAUAGAGGACAAGUGUCCCACUCACUACCUCAAGAGGCAGUUCCCCCUGCCCUUUCCCAUCCCCCAACCCCACCUCUAGUAGCAUGGCCAGUGGUUUGCGGUUCUUUCCCCAGGAUGUGGAACCAUCUUCACCUGCUGCCCUUGCCGGCCUGCGCCCCUACACAGACUAUGUGGUUGGUUCGGACCAGAUUCUCCAGGAGUCCGAGGACUUCUUUACGCUCAUCGAGUCUCAUGAGGGGAAGCCCUUGAAGCUGAUGGUGUAUAACUCCAAGUCAGACUCCUGCCG